UACAGAGGGUGCAAGCGUUGUUCGGAAUUAUUGGGCGUAAAGGGCGCGUAGGCGGUUCGGCAAGUCUCUAGUGAAAUCUCUGGGCUCAACUCAGAGUCUGCUGGGGAAACUGCCGGGCUUGAGUGUGGGAGAGGAGAGUGGAAUUCCAGGUGUAGCGGUGAAAUGCGUAGAUAUCGGGAGGAACACCUGUGGCGAAAGCGGCUCUCUGGACCACAACUGACGCUGAGGCGCGAAAGCUAGGGGAGCAAACAGG
rnacentral:rRNA from 1 species